CAGGGUAGAACUCGAGUGAGGAGGAGAGGGGAGAGGGAUGGAGAAGUUGUGGCCAGAGGGACGAGUCUCAGAUGGACAUGAGGACUCGCUGUUGGGUCUACUGUAGCGUAGGGUGGUGGUGACCACAGCCAAUAAUGCCUGCUAUAUUAUCACAUGCGUGUCCAUUUCAUAUGUACCCUUGUCGUUUUAGUAGAAAGCAAUGAGAGCAGCUCCGUGGACGUGGACGUCCUACCCAUGGCAGACCAUCCACAUGGGAGGAAGCCACGUCUGAGGUGUGAGAGCACGUGCCUGGAACUCUAGGCCGAAGAUCACCAGUGCAUCGGCCUCCAUGCUGCAAAGGUGAACAGACUGUGGCUCAGGUGCUCAAAUCCUCCCUAGAGACUGCGCAUCCCACCGGAUUUGAGAGCAGUACUAACUCUACACAUUUUGUGAAGUUUAAAGUUCUGACUAAGGAGCCGGAAGUGUGAAGAGGAUGUAUGAAGA